rnacentral:rRNA from 1 species
CCUCCUGUCCAUAUCACCCCGAACACACACCUGAUCUCAUCUGAUCUCAGACGCUAAGUUGGGUUGGGCCUGUUUUAUACUUCGAUGGGAACUGCAACAUAUAAAUUGAGGGGGUGGACACAAUUC